UUUGGGAAGUGAUGACAAACUAGAAAAAUUUCUCAGAUGCAGCUGCUAUGCUGAACUUAGUAUUUGCACGUCAGUCUGAUCCCAUU
rfam:Cucumis melo, WGS project CAJI01000000 data, contig: 16165